UGGAAUGUAGGACAACUUGGCAGUCCGCUUGGUUUGGGACCAAGACGUUGUGGGUUCAAAUCCCGUCAUUCCAA
rnacentral:tRNA from 1 species